rnacentral:misc_RNA from 1 species
GAAAUGCGAUAAGUAAUGUGAAUUGCAGAAUUCAGUGAAUCAUCGAAUCUUUGAACGCACCUUGCGCUCCUUGGUAUUCCUUGGAGCAUGCCUGUUUGAGUAUCAUGAAAUCUUCAAAGUAAAUCUUUUGUUAACUCAAUUGGUUUCUACUUUGGUAUUGGAGGUCUUUGCAGCUUCACACCUGCUCCUCUUUGUUCAUUAGCUGGAUCUCAGUGUUAUGCUUGGUUCCACUCGGCGUGAUAAGUUAUCUAUCGCUGAGGACACUGUAAAAGGUGGCCAAGGUAAAUGCGGAUGAGCCGCUUCUAAUAGUCCAUUGACUUGGACAAUACUUUUAUGAUCUGAUCUCAAAUCAGGUAGGACUACCCGCUGAACUUAAGC